UACGUAGGGGGCAAGCGUUGUCCGGAUUUAUUGGGCGUAAAGAGCGUGUAGGCGGCCUGAAAGGUCAGCUGUGAAAACUCGAGGCUCAACCUCGAGACGUCGGUUGAAACCAUCUGGCUAGAGUCCGGAAGAGGAGUGUGGAAUUCCCGGUAUAGCGGUGAAAUGCGCAGAUAUCGGGAAGAACACCCGUGGCGAAGGCGGCACUCUGGGACGGUACUGACGCUGAGACGCGAAAGCGUGGGGAGCGAACAGG
rnacentral:rRNA from 1 species